rnacentral:rRNA from 1 species
GCCGGAGGAGGCAAGCGGUAUCCGGAAUUAUUGGGCGUAAAGCGUCCGCAGGUGGCGAUUCAAGUCUGCUGUCAAAGGUCGGGGCUUAACCCCGGGAAGGCAGUGGAAACUGAAUAGCUAGAGUGCGGUAGGGGCAGAGGGAAUUCCCGGUGUAGCGGUGAAAUGCGUAGAGAUCGGGUAGAACACCAGUGGCGAAAGCGCUCUGCUGGGCCUGCACUGACACUGAGGGACGAAAGCUAGGGGAGCGAAAGGG